rnacentral:rRNA from 1 species
GACGAACGCUGGCGGCGUGCUUAACACAUGCAAGUCGAACGAUGAAGCUGGAGCUUGCUCCGGUGGAUUAGUGGCGAACGGGUGAGUAACACGUGAGCAAUCUGCCCUUGACUCUGGAUAACUGCGGGAAACUGUAGCUAAUACCGGAUACGAGGCUCGAAGGCAUCUUCGGGUCUGGAAAGAAUUUCGGUCAAGGAUGAGCUCGCGGCCUAUCAGCUUGUUGGUGAGGUAAUGGCUCACCAAGGCGACGACGGGUAGCCGGCCUGAGAGGGUGACCGGCCACACAGGGACUGAGACACGGCCCAGACUCCGACGGGAGGCAGCAGUGGGGAAUAUUGCACAAUGGGCGAAAGCCUGAUGCAGCAACGCCGCGUGAGGGAUGAAGGCCUUCGGGUUGUAAACCUCUUUUAGCAGGGAAGAAGCGAAAGUGACGGUACCUGCAGAAAAAGCACCGGCUAACUACGUGCCAGCCGCCGCCGUAA